rnacentral:rRNA from 1 species
AAAACGACUCUCGGCAACGGAUAUCUCGGCUCUCGCAUCGAUGAAGAACGUAGCGAAACGCGAUACUUGGUGUGAAUUGCAGAAUCCCGUGAACCAUCGAGUCUUUGAACGCAAGUUGCGCCCGAAGCCUUUAGGCCGAGGGCACGCCUGCCUGGGCGUCACA